AAUACAUGCAAGUCGAACGGUAGUCACGCCUUCGGGAGUGAUGAGAGUGGCGCACGGGUGCGUAACGCGUAUGCAACCUACCCUUAACAGGGGGAUAGCCCAGAGAAAUUUGGAUUAAUACCCCAUAGUACUACAAGAUGGCAUCUGAAAGUAGUUAAAGAUUUAUCGGUUAAGGAUGGGCAUGCGCGACAUUAGCUAGUUGGUGAGGUAACGGCUCACCAAGGCGACGAUGUCUAGGGGUUCUGAGAGGAUGAUCCCCCACACUGGUACUGAGAUACGGACCAGACUCCUACGGGAGGCAGCAGUAGGGAAUAUUGGUCAAUGGGCGAGAGCCUGAACCAGCCAUGCCGCGUGCAGGAAGACAGCUUUCUGAGUUGUAAACUGCUUUUAUACGGGAAGAAAAAGCCCUUGCGAGGGAAAUUGCCGGUACCGUAUGAAUAAGCACCGGCUAACUCCGUGCCAGCAGCCGCGGUAAUACGGAGGGUGCAAGCGUUGUCCGGAUUUAUUGGGUUUAAAGGGUGCGUAGGCGGAUCUUUAAGUCAGUGGUGAAAUCCUGCAGCUUAACUGUAGAACUGCCAUUGAUACUGGAGGUCUUGAGUAUACUAGAGGUAGGCGGAAUUUAUGGUGUAGCGGUGAAAUGCAUAGAUACCAUAAAGAACACCAAUAGCGUAGGCAGCUUACUGGAGUAUAACUGACGCUGAGGCACGAAAGCAUGGGUAGCGAACAGGAUUAGAUACCCUGGUAGUCCAUGCCGUAAACGAUGAUUACUCGAUGUUGGCGAUAUACUGUCAGCGUCCAAGCGAAAGCGUUAAGUAAUCCACCUGGGGGAGUACGCUCGCAGAGUGAAACUCAAGGAAUUGACGGGGUUCCGCACAGCGUGAGCAUGUGUUUAUCGAUGAUACGCGAGAACUUACCUGGGCUCGAAUUCAUAAUGAUUAUUUAG
rnacentral:rRNA from 1 species